rnacentral:rRNA from 1 species
GAGUUUGAUCAUGGCUCAGGAUGAACGCUGGCGGCGUGCUUAACACAUGCAAGUCGAACGGACGCUUUGGGAAACUGGAGCGUUAGUGGCAAACGGGUGCGUAACACGUGGGCGACCUACCCCAAAGUGGGGAACAACGGACCGAAAGGUUCGCUAAUACCGCAUUAGCUCAGCCCUUCAUUGGGUCGAGUAAAGCCGCAAGGCGCUUUGGGAGGGGCCCGCGGCCCAUCAGGUAGUUGGUGAGGUAAUGGCCCACCAAGCCGAUGACGGGUAGCUGGUCUGAGAGGACGAUCAGCCACACUGGCACUGAGAUACGGGCCAGACUCCUACGGGAGGCAGCAGUGAGGAAUAUUGCGCAAUGGGGGAAACCCUGACGCAGCGACGCCGCGUGGGCGACGAAGGCCUUCGGGUCGUAAAGCCCUUUUGGCAGGGACGAGUGAGGACGGUACCUGCCGAAUAAGUCUCGGCUAACUACGUGCCAGCCGCCGCGAUAAUAC